rnacentral:lncRNA from 1 species
UCUAACCAAGGAGGUGGAAACAAUUUAUCAGCAAAUGAGAUCCCAUUAAUGUCUCAACCUGAUAUAUCCCUGGAUUUGAAUGCUCCCAGUUCAUCACACCAGUUCUCUAUGGAAGCCUCUUUAAGUCGCCCAAGUUCUUAUAGUCGACCUGGCAGUAGAAGUUAUAGUCGACCUGGCAGUAGAAGUGGGAGUUUACGGGGUAUUACGCCAUCCAGUCCAGCAGAAGCUAGUAAUGCCCGAUCUUUAAUGAAUCGAGAGAGCUUCCGGCACCACAACAUGGAUGGAAUUGCUGAGGUAUU